CUCCAAUCACAACAUUCUAAAAUGAUAAAAGUAGCUGUGUUUGCUCAAGGGUUUUAUCAUUAAUUGAUUUGGCUGAAGUUUUCCCAUAAGCCACAUCUUUUGGAACACGCUUCUUAUUUUAGGCCUCUGACUCAGUGGGAAGGCGCCGUUCGAGGCCCGCGGGGGUAGGAGCGAGCGGCGAGGGAUGCCCUUGGCCAGCGCCUCCCCACAGGCUUCCAGGGCUGUGGGGCCAAAUGUGCCCUCUCCUGCCCUCAUGGCAGCCUCAGUUCCUGAGUUCUCAUCAUUUCUUCCUUGCUACAAUCAGAACUGAGUCUAGCACCCUUCAGGACAAAUCCAGAUCCCCAGGAGAGACAGCCUGAUGAGUUCAGCUUGGAAAGGGUCUGUUCCUGUCCUAUCAGCUGUGGCCAGCGUGCCAGGGUCACGUACCAGUGCGACUGCCACAGCACGGCCCAUCUGUCCAGGAGUAGUUCUCAGUCAACGGGCUCCAGCUGGGACUCAGGCUGAAUAGAUGCCCACAAGGAUGUCUGCUACCACAUGUAAAGUGCCCCAAAGCAGGACAAGUGCUCAGCAAGUGUGGCCCGUAUGAUUAAGGGAAUUCUGUGUCUGUCUGAGAAGAAAGUGGCGAUGAGCAAUAACAAGGCCUGUCGUCCAUCUGGAAGAACUCCAGCCACCCCCCAAACUUUCAGGUGCAUAGAACCACCUGGACAUAAGACACAAACAUUGUUACCCCAAAAAGGAAAAAAAUUAUUUGGACUAUAUUAAAAUAAAAUAUUUGUUUAUCAAAAUACAUCAUUAAGAGUAAAAAGGCAAGACAGCAAGUUGAAGAAGAUAUUUGCAAUACACAUAGCCAGGAAAGGACAAGAACCCAGAAUAUAUAAAGAACUCCUAUAAAUCAGUAAGAAAAAGACAAUCUGAUUAAAACAUUGGCAAAAGAUCUGAAGAGGCACUUCACAAAAGAGGAUGCCCAAAUGGCCAAUAAACAUAAGAAAAUGUGCUCAACAUCAUUAGUCAUCAGGGAAAUGCAAGUUGAAGCAUAAAAUGGUAUCACUCCACACCCACAAGCAUGGCUGGGAUGAAAAGAGAGAUGCGCCCAGUGCUGACGAGGAUGUGCAUCAACUGGAACUCUCAGACACUGCAGGUGGGUGUCUAAAUUGGUACAGCCACUUUGGAAAAUUGUUCAGCUGUAUUUGUUAAACCUGAACACAAGCAAAUCCUAUCUGUGAUGCCACAAUUCUGCUGAUCGACAUAUCUCCAUCAGAAAUGUAUACAAAUGUCCACAGAGAUACAUGUCAUCGAAUUUUCAUGGCAGCCCUCUUUUGAUAUCCCAAAGCUGGAAACAACCCAAUGCCCAUCAACAGCAGAAUGCAUACAAAUUGUGGUACAAUCAUAGGCUGGAAUGCUACUCAGCAUUGAGAAUAAACAAACCACAACUGCAUAUAAUGGUAUGAAUGAGUCUCACAAAUAAUGUCAAGUAAAAAAGAGCCAGACACAGGUGUCUGUAUAAUUCUAUACACGUGAAAUUCAAAUGCAGGCAAAACAGAACUGAGCUGUCAGGAGUCAGGAUACUGGCCUUGUUUGGACAGCUUAGUAACCGGAAGGGACAUGAGGGGUUUGUGAGGGCCUGUAAAUAUUCUAUUUCUCUACCUGGGUAGACAUUAAGCAGAUGUGGAGUUUGUGAAAACGCAUGGAGCAAUUCACCUAUUACUUCUACACUUUUCUACAUUUAUGUACCCACUAAUAUCAUUUUUUGGGGAAAAAAAAAACCCAG
rnacentral:lncRNA from 10 species